rnacentral:lncRNA from 1 species
UUAUUGGCACGAAGGCACAUUCACAGCCGAGUCUAUUGAUUAGUUGCCUUAAAAAGAGCGCUCAGAGCAGUUCUGUGUACUUGUUCCUCGCCAGGUGCGCG